AUUGAACGCUGGCGGCAGGCCUAACACAUGCAAGUCGAGCGAGCGGCGGACGGUUGAGUCAUGUAUGGGGACUGACCGAUAGAGGGGGCUAACUACUGGAAACGGUAGCUAAUACCGCAUACUAUCGGAUAACCCAUAUGGGAUUAGCUAGUAGGUGAGGUAAUGGCUCACCUAGGCGACGAUCCCUAGCUGGUCUGAUAGGAUGAUCAGCCACACUGGGACUGAGAAACGGGCCAGACUCCUACGGAGGCAGCAGUGGGGAAUUUUGGACAAUGGGCGCAACCCGGAUGCAGCCAUCCCGCGUGUAUGAUGAAGGCCGUCGGGUUGUAAAGUACUUUGGGCCGUGAAGCGUUAUCGGCAGAAUAAGCACCGGCUAACUCCGUGCCAGCCGCCGCGGUAAUUC
rnacentral:rRNA from 1 species